rnacentral:pre_miRNA from 1 species
UUUUUAAUAUAAGUGUGUCCCAUGUAACAUUUGAGAUAUACUUACACUAAAA